ensembl:lncRNA
CAGUCUCUCACUUAGGUAACAUUUUAUCCUUGGCAACCCUUAGGAAGACAAUCCCUCAUAUCACCUGGAGUAGCUAAGGGUUAAACUGGACCACUACAGAAUAGCAGCUUUUAUUCUAUGGAAUCAAUUUGAUGCUAAUGGAGGGGUGAAUGGAAAGACUAAUGUAUGACCAAAUGCCCUUCGUCUGGUAUCUCCAUAAGGAAUGUUGGCUGCUUAAUUUGUGCUUGUGAAUUCUUCAACAUCCUCUGCUGAAAGGCCUUCCAGAAGCACAAGUAUUUGCCAUCUUGUAAAGCUAUAUUAUCUGCUCUUCUCAUCUACACAGAUGUAUUUCCAUCUUUCCAGUUUUGGAUGCUGGGGAUACAGGGGCAAGCUAAAGGAGGGACAAAGACCCUGCUUCUAAGAGACUUACAUUUUAAUAUCUAAGAUACAGAUAGAAUGAAGUAAGUACAGAGUAUUGGUUGGGGUAAAGUGCUGUGAUGAGAAUGAAAGAGAAAGGCUGUUUUCACUUAGG